UCAAGUGACUAAGUGCAUGUGGCGGAUGCCUUGGCGAUCACAGGCGAAGAAAGACGCGGCAGCCUGCGAAAAGCUGCGGGGAGCUGGCAAACGAGCUUUGAUCCGCAGAUAUCUGAAUGGGGGAACCCACACCGCAAGGUGUAUCCGUGACUGAAUACAUAGGUUACGGAGGCGAACGAGGAGAACUGAAACAUCUAAGUAUCCUCAGGAAAAGAAAUCAACCGAGAUUCCGGCAGUAGCGGCGAGCGAACCCGGAGGAGCCUAGCUUUUGAUAGUACGAACUUUAGCCGAAAGGUCCUGGAAAGGCCUGCUAUAGUGGGUGAUAGCCCCGUAGGCGAAAGAGUUCGUAUGGUACUAAGGAAGCGAGAAGUAGAGCGGGACACGUGGAAUCCUGUUCGAAGAUGGGGGGACCAUCCUCCAAGGCUAAAUACUCGUGAUCGACCGAUAGUGAACCAGUACCGUGAGGGAAAGGCGAAAAGAACCCCGGGAGGGGAGUGAAAUAGAACCUGAAACCGCAUGCAUACAAACAGUAGGAGCCUCGUCAGAGGUGACUGCGUACCUUUUGCAUAAUGGGUCAGCGACUUACAUUCUGUGGCGAGCUUAACCGAAUAGGGGAGGCGCAGCGAAAGCGAGUUCGAAAUGAGCGUCCAGUCGCAGGGUGUAGACCCGAAACCAGAUGAGCUAUCCAUGGCCAGGUUGAAGGUGUGGUAACACACACUGGAGGACCGAACCGACUAGUGUUGCAAAAUUAGCGGAUGAGCUGUGGAUAGGGGUGAAAGGCCAAACAAAUCUGGAGAUAGCUGGUUCUCCCCGAAAACUAUUGAGGUAGUGCCUCGUGUGUCGCUCCAGGGGGUAGAGCACUGUUUUGGCUAGGGGGACAUGGAGUCUUACCAAACCAAGGCAAACUCCGAAUACCUGGAAGCGUAAGCACGGGAGACAGAGCACCGGGUGCUAACGUCCGGACUCAAAAGGGAAACAACCCAGACCGCCGGCUAAGGUCCCCAAUAACAGCUAAGUGGAAAACGAAGUGGAAAGGCCGUGACAACCAGGAAGUUGGCUUAGAAGCAGCCAUCCUUCAAAGAAAGCGUAAUAGCUCACUGGUCGAGUCCUUCUGCGCGGAAGAUGUAACGGGGCUAAGCUGUUAACCGAAGCCGCGGAUGCACUGAUUAUUCAGUGCGUGGUAGGGGAGCGUUCUGUAAGUCUGCGAAGGCGGUUCGAGAGGACUGCUGGAGAUAUCAGAAGUGCGAAUGCUGACAUGAGUAACGUUAAAGCAGGUGAAAAGCCUGCUCGCCGUAAGCCCAAGGAUUCCUGCUCUACGUUCAUCGGAGCAGGGUGAGUCGGCUCCUAAGGUCAGGCCGAAAGGCGUAGCCGAUGGGAAUCAGGUUAAUAUUCCUGAACCUGCGUCAGAUGCGAUGGGGGGACGGAGCAUGAAAGAUCAUCCGGGUGUUGGAUGUCCCGGUUGACGAGCGUAGGAGGUCUGCAGGCAAAUCCGCAGACGCAUCUCCAAGGCGAAGUCACGUGCCGCCACGGCGGCGAAGUGAUCGGAAGUGCUUCCAAGAAAAGCCUCUAAGCACCAGUCUGGCGCGGACCGUACCGCAAACCGACACUGGUGGGCGAGCUGAAUAUGCUCAGGCGCUUGAGAGAACUCGGGAGAAGGAACUCGGCAAAUUGACACCGUAACUUCGGAAGAAGGUGUGCCGUAGUAGCGUGAGAGGAGAGACACCUUGAGCGUGAAUCGGUCUCAGAGAAUAGGUGGCUGCGACUGUUUAUUAAAAACACAGCACUCUGCAAAGUCGAAAGACGACGUAUAGGGUGUGAUGCCUGCCCGGUGCUGGAAGAUUAAUUGAUGGUGUAAUCGAAAGAGAAGCUCCUGAUCGAAGCCCCAGUAAACGGCGGCCGUAACUAUAACGGUCCUAAGGUAGCGAAAUUCCUUGUCGGGUAAGUUCCGACCUGCACGAAUGGCAUAACGAUGGCCACACUGUCUCCUCCCGAGACUCAGUGAAGUUGAAAUGUUUGUGAUGAUGCAAUCUACCCGCGGCUAGACGGAAAGACCCCAUGAACCUUUACUGCAGCUUUGCAUUGAACUGUGAACCGAUUUGUGUAGGAUAGGUGGGAGGCAGAGAAGAGGCCACGCCAGUGGUCUUGGAGCCGGCCUUGAAAUACCACCCUGAUUUGUUUGCGGUUCUAACCACGGACAGUGAUCCUGUCUUGGGACCGUGCAUGGUAGGCAGUUUGACUGGGGCGGUCUCCUCCUAAAGGGUAACGGAGGAGUACGAAGGUACGCUAGGUACGGUCGGAAAUCGUGCUGAUAGUGCAAUGGCAAAAGCGUGCUUGACUGCGAGAGCAACAACUCGAGCAGAUGCGAAAGCAGGUCAUAGUGAUCCGGUGGCUCUGAAUGGAAGGGCCAUCGCUCAACGGAUAAAAGGUACUCUGGGGAUAACAGGCUGAUACCGCCCAAGAGUUCAUAUCGAC
rnacentral:rRNA from 1 species